rnacentral:rRNA from 1 species
UACAGAGGUCCCCGAGCGUUGUUCGGAUUUACUGGGCGUAAAGGGUGCGUAGGUGGCAAGGUAAGUUUGGUGUGAAAACUCCGAGCUCAACUCGGAAACUGCAUUGAAUACUAUCUUGCUUGAGGAUCGGAAGGGAGACUGGAAUUCUCGGUGUAGCAGUGAAAUGCGUAGAUAUCGAGAGAAACACCGGUGGCGAAGGCGAGUCUCUGGACGAUUCCUGACACUGAGGCACGAAAGCUAGGGGAUCAAACAGGAUUAGAUA